rnacentral:rRNA from 1 species
CCUACGGGUGGCAGCAGUAGGGAAUAUUGCUCAAUGGGGGAAACCCUGAAGCAGCAACGCCGCGUGGAGGAUGAAGGUUUUCGGAUUGUAAACUCCUUUUGCUAGAGAAGAUAAUGACGGUAUCUAACGAAUAAGGAACGGCUAGUUCCGGGCCAGCAGCCGCGGUAAUACGGAGGGUGGAAGCGUUACUCGGAAACACUGGGCGUAAAGAGCGCGUAGGCGGGAUAGCAAGUCUGAGGUGAAAUCCUAUGGCUUAACCAUAGAACUGCCUUUGAAAGUGGUAUUCUAGAGGAUGGGAGGGGUAAGUGGAAUUCUUGGUGUAGGGGUAGAAUCCGUAGAGAUCAAGAGGAAUACUCAUUGCGAAGGCGACCUGCUAGAACAUAACUGACGCUGAUGCGCGAAAGCGUGGGGAGCAAACAGGAUUAGAUACCCCUGUAGUC